rnacentral:lncRNA from 1 species
UCCUCUUAAGUGGUCGGUGGUCGAGCAAUUUCUGUCAGCUCAGCUGCAAAAUGGACGAACGCGCGUCAGUGUACGAACGUGCUUUGGUUUUGUAUGACGAGUGAUGGAUGAGAGGGUAUCGCAAAGAUCCUUUGUUGAUUAAUGCAGGUCUGAUCACAUAGGAGAGCUGCUGGGACUUGGUGAUUUGUAAAAUAUGAACCAAUGGUGACUUAAUGCAUCCACUUGUACAUCAAUCUUGAGCU